rnacentral:rRNA from 1 species
UCGAGCGGACAGAUGGGAGCUUGCUCCCUGAUGUUAGCGGCGGACGGGUGAGUAACACGUGGGUAACCUGCCUGUAAGACUGGGAUAACUCCGGGAAACCGGGGCUAAUACCGGAUGGUUGUCUGAACCGCAUGGUUCAGACAUAAAAGGUGGCUUCGGCUACCACUUACAGAUGGACCCGCGGCGCAUUAGCUAGUUGGUGAGGUAACGGCUCACCAAGGCGACGAUGCGUAGCCGACCUGAGAGGGUGAUCGGCCACACUGGGACUGAGACACGGCCCAGACUCCUACGGGAGGCAGCAGUAGGGAAUCUUCCGCAAUGGACGAAAGUCUGACGGAGCAACGCCGCGUGAGUGAUGAAGGUUUUCGGAUCGUAAAGCUCUGUUGUUAGGGAAGAACAAGUGCCGUUCAAAUAGGGCGGCACCUUGACGGUACCUAACCAGAAAGCCACGGCUAACUACGUGCCAGCAGCCGCGGUAAUACGUAGGUGGCAAGCGUUGUCCGGAAUUAUUGGGCGUAAAGGGCUCGCAGGCGGUUUCUUAAGUCUGAUGUGAAAGCCCCCGGCUCAACCGGGG